rnacentral:lncRNA from 1 species
AUCAUAUGAUAUAUAGGUGGCGUCCUUUGGGCCACUCUACCCCCUCCUGUUUGAUAACUUUGAAACGGAUGACCUCUCAACCAUAUACAUUCAUGUAUGGGACUAUAUAUAUAACUAAUCAAAUGAAAUAUAAGGGGAGUCCAUGGGGUGACCCACCCCUCCUGUUUGGGAACUUACGAAACGGUCGAGAUCCCCACCCCUAAACAAUAUAUAUUCAUGUAUGGGUCAAUAUAACUAAUUAAAUGAAAUAUAGGGGGAGUCCCCCUACCCCCUCCUGUUUGAGAACUUGGAAACCGAUGAGAUCCCCACCCCUAAACCAUAUAUAUUCAUGUAUGGGACAAUAUAACAAAUCAAAUGAAAUAUAGGGGAAGUCCCUGGGGUCAUCCUAUCCCUUCCUGUUUGAGAACUUGAAAACCCUCGAGAUCCCCACCCCUAAACCAUAUAUAUUCAUGUAUGGAACAAUAUAACAAAUCAAAUGAAAUAUAGGGGAAGUCCCUGGGGUCACCCUACCCCUUCCUGUUUGAGAACUUGAAAACCCUCGAGAUCCCA